AUUCAUCUGACGAGUCUCAAAUAGAACAAAACGCGAGUAGUGGAU
rnacentral:hammerhead_ribozyme from 1 species